GACGAACGCUGGCGGCGUGCUUAACACAUGCAAGUCGAACGGUGAUUCCCCAGCUUGCUGGAGUGGAUCAGUGGCGAACGGGUGAGUAACACGUGAGCAACCUGCCCCAGCCUCUGGAAUAAGCGCUGGAAACGGCGUCUAAUACUGGAUACGAAACUGGCCCGCAUGGGCAUGGUUUGUAAAGUUUUUCGGUUUGGGAUGGGCUCGCGGCCUAUCAGCUUGUUGGUGAGGUAAUGGCUCACCAAGGCCACGACGGGUAGCCGGCCUGAGAGGGCGACCGGCCACACUGGGACUGAGACACGGCCCAGACUCCUACGGGAGGCAGCAGUGGGGAAUAUUGCACAAUGGGCGAAAGCCUGAUGCAGCGACGCCGCGUGAGGGAUGACGGCCUUCGGGUUGUAAACCUCUUUCAGCAGGGAAGAAGCGAAAGUGACGGUACCUGCAGAAGAAGCACCGGCUAACUACGUG
rnacentral:rRNA from 1 species